rnacentral:rRNA from 1 species
GGACUACAGGGGUAUCUAAUCCUGUUUGAUCCCCUUGCUUUCGCGCCUCAGCGUCAGGAAUAAGAUAGAAAACCGCCUUCGCCACAGGUGUUCUUCCACAUAUCUACGCAUUUCACCGCUACUUGUGGAAUUCCGUUUUCUCCUCCUACCCUCAAGAAAAAUAGUUUCAGAUGCUGUUCCGGGGUUGAGCCCCGGGAUUUCACGUCCGACUUAUUUUCCCGCCUACGCGCCCUUUACGCCCAAUAAAUCCGAUUAAUGCUUGCACCCUCCGUAUUACCGCGGCGGCUGGCAC